rnacentral:rRNA from 1 species
GGACGAACGCUGGCGGCGUGCUUAACACAUGCAAGUCGAACGGUGAAGCUCCAGCUUGCUGGAGUGGAUCAGUGGCGAACGGGUGAGUAACACGUGAGCAACCUGCCCCUGACUCUGGAAUAAGCGCUGGAAACGGCGUCUAAUACUGGAUACGAGAAGGGUCCGCAUGGGCACUUUCUGGAAAGUUUUUCGGUUGGGGAUGGGCUCGCGGCCUAUCAGCUUGUUGGUGAGGUAAUGGCUCACCAAGGCGACGACGGGUAGCCGGCCUGAGAGGGCGACCGGCCACACUGGGACUGAGACACGGCCCAGACUCCUACGGGAGGCAGCAGUGGGGAAUAUUGCACAAUGGGCGAAAGCCUGAUGCAGCGACGCCGCGUGAGGGAUGACGGCCUUCGGGUUGUAAACCUCUUUCAGCAGGGAAGAAGCGAAAGUGACGGUACCUGCAGAAGAAGCACCGGCUAACUACGUG